UACGAAGGGGGCUAGCGUUGCUCGGAAUCACUGGGCGUAAAGCGCACGUAGGCGGCUUUUUAAGUCAGGGGUGAAAUCCUGGAGCUCAACUCCAGAACUGCCUUUGAUACUGAGAAGCUUGAGUCCGGGAGAGGUGAGUGGAACUGCGAGUGUAGAGGUGAAAUUCGUAGAUAUUCGCAAGAACACCAGUGGCGAAGGCGACU
rnacentral:rRNA from 1 species